CUCGAGCAUGCGGGUGGGCUAGGCUCUCAGUUGCUGCUAACUCACGUGGAUUCUUUCCUCUUAAGGCUUAGGUAAAUCCUCCAAGAUUUGACUUCCCGCGGAAACCAGUAGCAGAGCGGGUGGAGGAGGCGAGGAUGCGGCUGGUACACACCGAGUUUCCUUGGCAAGGAAAAUCGAUGGUAGGAAAGGCUGUGGGGAUUUAACUGGGGUUGAGGGUGGAGGCUCGCAAAACCACCACCGGUGCGUGGCAUUGCCAGUGCGUGCGCUUGGACCUCGCACCUCGGGAUAGUGCUCCUGACCUGCUGAGUCCGCGACGCGCCACCUCUCCUUCCGAAGUUUUAGGCCGCCUCACAGCGAGCUGCAAGAGCGGGCCGGCCGUGGCGGGCUCCUUGAACCCAAGUCCUGUCUGUCCGCUAAGUCCUGGGAGGAGAAUUUUGGCCUCACCAGAGGAAGGAGCACAAGGGGAGCGAGCGGUCCGAGAGGAAAUAGUUGGUGAAAUAUUUACAGAAGACGCUGGGAAACCGAUUUAAUUCCUGGUGGACAGUGGUGCUUCUGAUUCCCUCAGUCUGUGUCUCUCACCUACGACGCUCUCAAUCCUUGGCCUAGAAAAAAAAUCCGUAAACUUACUUCAUUAUA
rnacentral:lncRNA from 1 species